rnacentral:ncRNA from 1 species
AGUUAGCAAGGACCACCUUGCAAGCCUCUGACGGGGCUUCUGGCUGACCUAUAGUGAAGUAGUACCGUGAGGGAAGGGUGAAAAGAACCUCCAUCGGGGAGUGAAAUAGAAGAUGAAACCAUCAGUUUCCAAGUAGUGGGAGGAGACCAGGACUCUAACCGCGUACCUAUUGAAGAAUGAGCCGACGACUCAUAGACAGUGGCUUGGUUAAGGGAACCCACCGGAGCCAUAGCGAAAGCGAGUCAGAAUGGGGCAAUUCUCACUGCUUAUGGACCCAAACCUUUCUUCUUCAGGAUGCAGCUUGGGUGAAACUAAGUGGAGGUCCGAACUGUCUGAUGUUGAAGAAUCGGCGGAU